rnacentral:rRNA from 1 species
UACGUAGGGGGCAAGCGUUGUCCGGAAUUACUGGGCGUAAAGCGCGUGUAGGCGGGACGGCAAGUCUGGCGUGAAAGGCUCGGGCUCAACCCGAGAUGGCCGCUGGAAACUGCCGUUCUUGAGGGUCGAAGAGGAGAGUGGAAUUCCUGGUGUAGCGGUGAAAUGCGUAGAGAUCAGGAGGAACACCCAUGGCGAAGGCAGCUCUCUGGUCGACCUCUGACGCUGAGACGCGAAAGCGUGGGGAGCGAACAGG